rnacentral:rRNA from 1 species
UGGUGCUUGCACUGGUCUAAGGAGUUGCGAACGGGUGAGUAACGCGUAGGUAACCUACCUCAUAGCGGGGGAUAACUAUUGGAAACGAUAGCUAAUACCGCAUGACAAUAGGGUACACAUGUACCCUAUUUAAAAGGGGCAAAUGCUUCACUAUGAGAUGGACCUGCGUUGUAUUAGCUAGUUGGUAAGGUAACGGCUUACCAAGGCGACGAUACAUAGCCGACCUGAGAGGGUGAUCGGCCACACUGGGACUGAGACACGGCCCAGACUCCUACGGGAGGCAGCAGUAGGGAAUCUUCGGCAAUGGGGGGAACCCUGACCGAGCAACGCCGCGUGAGUGAAGAAAGGUUUUCGGAUCGUAAAAGCUCUGUUGUUAG